GCGAGCGUUGUCCGGAAUUAUUGGGCGUAAAGAGCUCGUAGGCGGUGUGUCGCGUCGGCCGUGAAAACCUGGGGCUCAACUCUGGGCGUGCGGUCGAUACGGGCAUCACUUGAGUUCGGCAGGGGAGACUGGAAUUCCUGGUGUAGCGGUGAAAUGCGCAGAUAUCAGGAAGAACACCCGUGGCGAAAGCGGCUCUCUGGAACGGUACUGACGCUGAGACGCGAAAGCGUGGGGAGCGAACAGG
rnacentral:rRNA from 1 species